rnacentral:rRNA from 1 species
UACGUAGGGGGCGAGCGUUGUCCGGAUUUAUUGGGCGUAAAGAGCUCGUAGGCGGCUUAGCAAGUCGGGUGUGAAAACUCCAGGCUCAACCUGGAGACGCCACUCGAGACUGCUAUGGCUAGAGUCCGGUAGGGGACCACGGAAUUCCUGGUGUAGCGGUGGAAUGCGCAGAUAUCAGGAGGAACACCGGUGGCGAAGGCGGUGGUCUGGGCCGGCACUGACGCUGAGGAGCGAAAGCGUGGGGAGCAAACAGG